CAAGUCGAGCGAAUCGAUGGGAGCUUGCUCCCUGAGAUUAGCGGCGGACGGGUGAGUAACACGUGGGCAACCUGCCUAUAAGACUGGGAUAACUUCGGGAAACCGGAGCUAAUACCGGAUACGUUCUUUUCUCGCAUGAGAGAAGAUGGAAAGACGGUUUACGCUGUCACUUAUAGAUGGGCCCGCGGCGCAUUAGCUAGUUGGUGAGGUAAUGGCUCACCAAGGCGACGAUGCGUAGCCGACCUGAGAGGGUGAUCGGCCACACUGGGACUGAGACACGGCCCAGACUCCUACGGGAGGCAGCAGUAGGGAAUCUUCCGCAAUGGACGAAAGUCUGACGGAGCAACGCCGCGUGAACGAAGAAGGCCUUCGGGUCGUAAAGUUCUGUUGUUAGGGAAGAACAAGUACCAGAGUAACUGCUGGUACCUUGACGGUACCUAACCAGAAAGCCACGGCUAACUACGUGCCAGCAGCCGCGGUAAUACGUAGGUGGCAAGCGUUGUCCGGAAUUAUUGGGCGUAAAGCGCGCGCAGGUGGUUCCUUAAGUCUGAUGUGAAAGCCCACGGCUCAACCGUGGAGGGUCAUUGGAAACUGGGGAAC
rnacentral:rRNA from 1 species